rnacentral:rRNA from 1 species
CAGUCGCCGCGGGAAUACAGAGGGUGCGAGCGUUAAUCGGAUUUACUGGGCGUAAAGCGUGCGUAGGCGGCUUCUUAAGUCGGAUGUGAAAUCCCUGAGCUUAACUUAGGAAUUGCAUUCGAUACUGGGAAGCUAGAGUAUGGGAGAGGAUGGUAGAAUUCCAGGUGUAGCGGUGAAAUGCGUAGAGAUCUGGAGGAAUACCGAUGGCGAAGGCAGCCAUCUGGCCUAAUACUGACGCUGAGGUACGAAAGCAUGGGGAGCAAACAGGAUUAGAUACCCCUGUAGUCCCUGUCUCUUAUAU